AUGGUAGAGCGAAGGCAGAAGAAUUGGGUCCAGGAUGCUGGUGAACCAUCUAAAGAAGCGAAGGCUGUAGCCAAGUAUCUUCAAUCCAACAAAGUCCACCAAUAUGAAGGAUCACCAGGUUGGUUAUUUUAUUGAUUCAAAAGCAGUGGAUUGCCUUUUGAUUCAAAGUGGGCAAAGGCCAAGAAAGGAGAAGAAGCUUUAUUGACAACCAGAGAAUCUUGGUUGACUACUACAACAGGCUUUUAAAGAAGCAGUUUUUUCACCAGGCACUGAAAGUAAUGAAAAUGAAAUAUGAUAAAGACAUAAAGAAAGAAAAAGAUAAAGGAAAAGCUGAAAGUGGAAAAGAAGAAGAUAAAAAGAGCAAGCAAGAAAAUAUAAAAGAUGAAAGGGCAAAAAAAGGAAAAAGGGAAAAAAAAGAUGCCGAAAAGGAAGGAUCCAAAAUGAAGGAACUCUCCAAAAGAAGGAAACUAAGAAAAGGUCAAAUUUGGACCACAUGAUGACCAAGUUUUUCGGGAUGGAAAUGAGGUAUAUGCGUGAAUCUAUGACCCAGUUCACUUUAAAAUAUUUGUCAUUGGGAUAAUUCUUGUGAUUUCAGUAACAGUGGCCACUUUCUUUCCUCUCUGGUCAGUAGAAAUGAGAGUAGGUAUUUAUUACCUCAGUGUGGGUGCAGGCUGUUUUGUAACCAGUAUUCUUCUCCCUGCUGUUGCUCGUUGCAUAAGGCUUCUCAUCAUCUGGCUCAUCACCAGGGGAAGGCACCACUUCUGGUUCUUGCCAAACCUGACUGGUGACGUGGGCUUCAUAGACUCCUUCAGGCCCCUGUACACACAUGAAUACAAGGGACCAAAAGCAGACUCAAAGAAAAAUGAGAAACCAAAAAUGAAAAAGCACCAGAAGUCCGACAGUGAGGAGAAGACAGCCAGUGAUGAGGAGAAGGAGGAAGAGGAGGAAGGAAAGGCAGGUCCAGGAAGUCAUGGGGCAGAGGGCUGCGGUGGAGAGUGACACUCGGACACAGACAGUGACUGGAGAGAAGAUGACUGGGUCCCAGCACAGUAGUGGGAACGGGAACAAUUUCGAAAUGAUAAGAAAAGAGGCACUGGAACAGCAGACAGAUAAAGAUUGUGAAGAGGAGAGGAAGGCAAUGAUGGUGAGACACCUAAAUCCUCACAUAAAAAGUCAUAA